ACAGCCACAUCAUAUUGAAACACCAGUUACUGUAUGAUCAUCAAAGUUAAGCAAUAUUGAGCGUGGUCAGUACCUAAAUGGGUGACCACUUGGGAAUACCAGGUGCUGUAAG